rnacentral:rRNA from 1 species
UACGUAGGGACCAAGCGUUGUUCGGAUUUACUGGGCGUAAAGGGCGCGUAGGCGGCAAUUCAAGUCAUCUGUGAAAUCUCCGGGCUUAACUCGGAACGGUCAGAUGAUACUGCUUUGCUAGAGUACAGAAGGGGCAAUCGGAAUUCUUGGUGUAGCGGUGAAAUGCGUAGAUAUCAAGAGGAACACCUGAGGUGAAGACGGGUUGCUGGGCUGAUACUGACGCUGAGGCGCGGAAGCUAGGGUAGCAAACGGG